rnacentral:snRNA from 1 species
AUGGCUUCUUGGCCUUUUGGCUAAGAUCAAGUGUAGUAUCUGUUCCUAACAAUUUAAUAUCUGAUACUUCUGUCUGAGGACGAUCUAUUAAAUGGAUUUUUGGAGCAGGGAGAUGGAAUAGGACCUUGCUCCAUCCAUUUAUGCCUCAACCUGGUAUUGCAAUCUUCCAGAAAUGAUGCACCCCUC